rnacentral:rRNA from 1 species
GGUUUGUCGCGUUGUUCGUGAAAUCUCACGGCUUAACUGUGAGCGUGCGGGCGAUACGGGCAGACUUGAGUACUGCAGGGGAGACUGGAAUUCCUGGUGUAGCGGUGGAAUGCGCAGAUAUCAGGAGGAACACCGGUGGCGAAGGCGGGUCUCUGGGCAGUAACUGACGCUGAGGAGCGAAAGCGUGGGGAGCGAACAGGAUUAGAUACCCUGGUAGUCCACGCCGUAAACGGUGGGUACUAGGUGUGGGUUUCCUUCCUUGGGAUCCGUGCCGUAGCUAACGCAUUAAGUACCCCGCCUGGGGAGUACGGCCGCAAGGCUAAAACUCAAAGAAAUUGACGGGGGCCCGCACAAGCGGCGGAGCAUGUGGAUUAAUUCGAUGCAACGCGAAGAACCUUACCUGGGUUUGACAUGCACAGGACGCCGGCAGAGAUGUCGGUUCCCUUGUGGCCUGUGUGCAGGUGGUGCAUGGCUGUCGUCAGCUCGUGUCGUGAGAUGUUGGGUUAAGUCCCGCAACGAGCGCAACCCUUGUCUCAUGUUGCCAGCGGGUAAUGCCGGGGACUCGUGAGAGACUGCCGGGGUCAACUCGGAGGAAGGUGGGGAUGACGUCAAGUCAUCAUGCCCCUUAUGUCCAGGGCUUCACACAUGCUACAAUGGCCGGUACAAAGGGCUGCGAUGCCGCGGGGUUAAGCGAAUCCUUUUAAAGCCGGUCUCAGUUCGGAUCGGGGUCUGCAACUCGACCCCGUGAAGUCGGAGUC